UCUGUUGUCCUUCAUUCCACCGGAGUCUGUCUCGUACCUAACCAGAUUUCAGUGGAGUGAAGCACAAGAGACA
rnacentral:pre_miRNA from 1 species